rnacentral:lncRNA from 1 species
AGGGAGAUUAGAGGAUUAGCUCAGGAAUGUGUGUAUGAGGUGCCUCCUUUCCUGUUCCCCUCUACAUGAAGCCUUCCUGACUUUCACUCCCAGGUUUGCUUCCCCUCAGAUUGAAGUCACGCCGAUGUCCUGCCUGUCCCUGGCCAUUUGGUGAGCCCAGGAGAACCGUGGGUUCCUGCUCAGGUCCUGGGCACUCCAGAGUUCCAGUUCUGAGGGACCUGCCACUCACAGGACAACCUCUACCACAACCACCACCCUGGGGACAGACAUUCGAUCCAGGUCGGGCCAGUCACCAUCCAUCCUGGGAUUUGAACAUCUAAGACCCAGGAAAGAGAACUGCUCUAUGCAGGUAGCUCUGGGCAGAGGAACCCUGCAGAAGCUGGUGGGUACCUUAUGCUGGCCUUAGAGAAGGAGGAGCAGAAGAGGAAAGAGGAGGCCGAUAACCAUG